GGUACGAUGGCUGAGUAAAGCGGUGGAUUGUAGCUCCACAUACAGGGGUGAGAGUCCUCUUCGUGCCA
rnacentral:tRNA from 1 species